ensembl:lncRNA
GGUAUGUACCACUUAGAUGAAACUUUAUUAAGAUAGAAAAAAGCAAGAAGAAAACGUGCAAGUUGUAAGGUUUCACUAAGCCUCCAACCUUAGACAAUGUCACAGAUACCACGCUGAUAUGUUUUUUACACUCCACAUUGCAGUAUCCAAUGAUGAGUCUAGUCAAACCCAAGAAACUUCUGAUUCCAAAGUGAAUGUAAUCCAGAUUUUUUUGGCUUCUUAUCAUUCUUCAGUCUAAUUUGGCAGAGCAAAAAGAUUUUCCCAUUUCCCUGCCACUUCCUAGACUCUCAUACUAGCAGUGUGUUUGUCAGGUAGAAAAUUUUGGUUUAGUCAAUGGACUUGCAAAUUUCAUUUGUAGGCUGCAGAUGCAUGUGAAUUGACUCUGGGAUGAAUAUUGACUUCCUUCCCUAUUUCACCAUUGACUUGCACCAUCGUCUUUAAACAAAUAAUCACUUACUCUGCUUCUGUUCCCUAUUGGCAAAGUUGAGACAGUGCUUUAGCGAUAGAGGUGGCUCAGUGACAUUAUGGCAUUAUGACAUUCAAUGAGUAAAACUUCUGCUACAAUGUACAAGCUUCUCUAUUUGGGCUCUAAGUGAAAUUAUGGUUCACUCUGGCAUUUGUUGCCAAAAUUCUACAUAAAAUUUCAGGCAACAUGAAUGGGCUGGGAAAUAAUUUCUGUAAUCUUAAUUUAAGUGCUGGAAGAAGGCUCUUAAUUUGAGUUACAAAUAUAUGGAAGGAAGAAAAACAUCUGGAAAAAACUAACAAGCUUUUAUUACAAUAAAUUUUUAUUUCAACAAUAAUUCAUGACCUAUUAAAAAUUCUUGAAUAUAAUAGGUAAAAUGUGAGAAUUAUAUUAUACCCUUUAUAUACGCUUUUACAUCAGCUCUGAAAUGAAGACAUGCCAGAUAGGGAAAAAAUGGUAGUAAAGAGAAAAAGGAUCUAAGACAUUAGAUUCUGUUCAUUUAGUAGUAUUCUCAAGUUAAUUGAGUGUCUGUUUGUAGGACCUUGUUACACCACAGUAUUUUCAGUUUAUCUUCAUUAUUAUGCUAGAACCCUCAGACACUUAUAUGAAAGGAACAGCCUAUUUGGAAGGAAGAAAUUUUCACACAAUCCAACUACUCCAGUAUCGUGGGAGAAAGAUGAAAGGUGUUGGCACUUGAUAAGGCAAUGUCUUCACUUAGCAGCCGGAGAACAAAUGUCCCUUUUCAGCAUUUGACAAUAUAUCUGCCUGGCAGUGAUUAUUAGCAGUAGGCAGUCCUACAAAAUACAAUUUCUUGAAAUUUGAGGGCUGUGUUUUCUUCAGCACCUGUCUUAUGGAAUUAUGUUAACUACGUGGUCUACAAAAUUAUUUCUUUCAAUCAUUUUCCAAACAGAUUCUAUAAUCUUCAUUAUAGCUUGUGGUGAUCUGGCAUUUUAUAAACAGGAAUAACUCCAUGAAUGAUAAGAACUUUCUGAUACCAUGCCGAAGAUGAGCUAGAUUUUUUUAAAUGGGAAAAUUUGAACUUAGUUGUGUACCUGGGAGUGAAUGUCAUAGUGGUCAAAACUGGUGAUGAUAAAUCAAAGAUCUAUAGUCACACAUCUGCAAAUAUACAAAGAAUGGUUGUUUAUAACUUCAGACUUCAGUGGGCUGCAGGAUUUCCGAGGUAGCUUUCUAUGUUCAUACAAUAUUAAAGUAGGGUUUUU